CUUCAUCCUUUUGUGUACAUUGACAGGGAGUGAGCAUUGUUGAUGGUAGAGUCUUCGUGGCUGGCUGGCUCGCUCCACUCUGAGCCCCAUCCUCCCCAGGAACUCUGUGACGCGGCCAACGCUUAGCAGGAAUCUGUUGAAUCGUGCAAGCGCUGGACUUCUCUUUUAUCGUUUUGGUUUUUUGAUUUUCUGGUCCUUGCCAUACGAAACGGUGCGGUUGCAGAGGGGGAAGGGGAAUUGUAUUGCUGCGUGUACCGGUGGAAUAUCCAUCGGAGGUCUGGUGGAUUGCGGGAGUGGAUGCGAGAUAUUGGAUGUCUACUUCUUAAUGCCAGAGUCGAGGCAGAUUGGCGGUUAUAUCUCUGCUUUUUGACAGUGACACCGGAGGCUGGAUUGAAGCGUUGUUCGGAGUGCAGAGAGCGCAAAGGAUAUGAAAACGCCGCGUUAGUCGCAGUAGGGGGAAUAAGAAACCUCACGGUUCUUGGGCGAGUAUGUUUGCUGUGGCUACUUCGAAUGCUGGAAGAUAAAGUUGAGCUAGCAUCUGGAUAUUUGUGGAUUGGAUGCCAGGAGAUGGGAGUGUCAUCGUUAGGGUGCGGAUUUGCUGAUUCGUGGAAUUUCUUGUAGUUUCACUAGAGGAUUGAGCACAGUAUUGGAAACAUGAAGAAACGAGAAAGAGGGGAAGAUGAAAGUAUCCUUCCGCAAGGGAAGCGCAUUGCUGGACCACGGGUGGGCGAGGCUUCUGAAGCCGCCGCCUCCAACAACCUAGCGCCUAAUGGACAGCGGCUGACAACUGAUGAUGCGCUUGCGUACUUGAAAGCUGUGAAGGAGAAAUUCAAGGAUGACAAGGCCAAGUACGACGAGUUUUUGGAGGUAAUGAAAGACUUCAAAGCGCAGAAGGUGGACACUGCCGGCGUGAUCAGCCGCGUGAAGCAGCUGUUCAAGGGGCAUCCUCAAUUGAUUUUCGGGUUCAAUGCGUUUCUCCCUAGAGGGUACGAGAUCACGCAACCUGAGGAGGAGAAGCCUGCGGUAGAGUUUGAUCAAGCGAUUAAUUACGUUAACAAGAUCAAGGCUAGGUUUGCAACGAACGAGAGUGUGUACAAGCAAUUUUUGGAGAUUCUGAACUACUACCGGAAGGGUAACAAAACCAUUAAUGAGGUGUAUCAAGAGGUCGCUAAGUUAUUUGCCGACCAUCCCGAUCUGCUGGAGGAGUUCACAUACUUCUUGCCUGGGACGAAUGGUGCGUCGAUGGGAAAUAGUCAUCCCAGUGCCAAACACGUGCCUCAAAAUGCACGCCAACGAGAUGAGAAAGGGUUUGGAGGAAGCGGGAAGCCACCCAACGAAAGGCCAAUUUCUCUGAAGAAGGACAAAUUUGUAGCUAUGCCAGGAGAACGAAGUCGAGAACGUGAGCCAGAGAGGCGAGUGGAAAAAAAUCGCAAAAAGCUGGACAAGGACAAGAAGGAUGUUGGGGACAGGAAGGACAGGGCAGACAGGGAAGGAGGGGGGGAUAGGGAGAAGGAUUUUGUGGAACAGAAGCCUGCAAAGAGGGCGUCUGCUCGCAAUGCGAGCGAUGCCAUCAGGAGGCAGUCCCAGGCCGCGGAAAGAGCUGAGGGAUAUUCUGAACCUGCCCCUCAAGCGUCGAUGGAGGAUAAGAAGAUGUUUAAGGGUGCUGUCGGCGUGCAGUACCCAUUUUUUGACAAGGUCAAGGCUCGGCUGCGUAGCCGGGACACAUACCAGGAGUUUCUGAAAUGUCUGAACAUCUUCAGCCAGGAGAUCAUCAGCCGCGAGGAGCUGCAGAGCCUGGUGGGUGACAUUCUUGGGAAUCAUGCGGACUUGAUGGAGGGAUUCACCGAGUUUCUGACGCACUGCGAGAAUGUGGAGGGGUAUCUGGCCGGGGUGUUUAGCGGGCGCAAGCUGGGAGAUUUUGCGGAAGGUGUACCGCUGAAAGCCGUGAAGACGGAGAGGGAUGGUGAGCGGGAGAGAAACCGAGAGAAGGACAAGGAGCGUGAGAGGGAGAAGGACAAUGAGAAGGAUAGGGACAGAGAGCAAGACGCUAAGGAGAGGGAGCGGCAUGUGAAGCCAUCGCAGGCAGCGAAGGAGGGAAGCCACAAGGUAGCGUCUAACAGUGACAAGUACUUGAACAAGCCGAUAUCAGAGCUGGAUCUAUCGAGUUGCGAUCGGUGUACUCCUAGCUACCGACUGCUGCCGAAGCAACAUCUUCGGCCGGUGUCGAGUCAUCGCACGGCGCUGGGGAACUCGGUGCUGAAUGACAGCUGGGUGUCGGUGACGUCAGGGAGUGAGGACUACUCGUUCAAGCACAUGCGGAAGAACCAGUACGAGGAGAGCUUGUUCCGGUGCGAGGACGAUCGGUAUGAAUUGGACAUGCUCCUGGAGGGGACGGCAGUGACGGCGAAGGUGGUCGGUGAAUUUACCGCGAAGCAAGAGGAGCAGAACGGGAAAAUGGAGCCAUUGCCUCCGGUGGAUGAGUUCUUGUCAGCGAUCAAUUUGAGGUGCAUUGAGCGGAUAUACGGGGAUCACGGUCUGGACAUGUUGGAGGCUCUUCGCAAGAACACCAGCAGAGCGAUGCCUGUGAUACACUCGCGUCUGGUGCAGAAGGAAGAGGAGUGGACUCGAUGUCGGGAGGAGAUGAACAAGGUAUGGUCGGAGGUGUACGCGAAGAACUGUUACAAGGCUCUGGACCAUCGCAGCUUCUACUUCAGGUCGCAGGACAAGAAGGCACUGAGCACGAAGGGGCUGCUGGCAGAGAUAAAGGAGGUGAGCGAGAAGAGGAGGAAUGAAGACGACACGGUGCUGGCGAUCGCAGGCAUCAAUCGGGGGCCUUCGCUGCCGGAUAUGCGGUAUGAGUUCAGCGACCUGUCGAUCCAUGACGAUAUAUACCAGACUAUAAAGUAUUCCUCGGAGGAGAUUAGCAGCUCGCUGGAUUACACGGAGAAGACGCUACGAACGUGGAGGAUGUUCGUAGAGCCGGUCCUGGGCAUAUCGUCUCGUUCGCAGGGGGUAGAAGACGUGGAGGAGGGUGUGAUGGUGAAGCCAUUGGAGGGCAAAGGGGUUGAUGGGAAUGGUGGAGAGAGCGGUGGCAGUCAAGGAGAUGAAGCGAGCAACCCGGAAGAUGGGGACAUGGCUUCGCAUCGGGAGGGCACUGUGAAUAAAGGUGUGGUGGUGGUGGGCGUGGAGGGGUCCGAGGGUCGGGUGACGGCAGGAGCGACGAAUGAAGAGACCCUGCGAGCAGCGAGUGGCGGGGAGAGAAAUAUAGAGGAGAAUGCGGGAGCAGAAGCGGUUGAUCGAGGCAGUAAUGGAGCAAGAGAAGCCUUCGUUAGAGGUAUGGCAGAGGCGGGUGGGGAAGGCACGGCUGCACGGACGGAAGGGUCUGGAUGGUUACAUGAUGGGAACAGAACGACAAAGCGGAGCUGCAGGGCAGCGGAACGAGGCGAAGUGGGAGGUCGGGCAAAAGUGGGGCUUGGUGAGAACUUGGGUAGCAGAUCGGUGGCCGAUAUUGGCCCUUUGGUAGUUGAUAGUAAUGGCGGCGGCGGUCAUGGGGCAAUGGAUAGAGAGGAAGGAGAGCUAUCGUCUUAUUCAGAGCAAGAGGACCGAAAGAAGUCGAAGUACAGCCCGCGGCAGGGAGAGGGGCACGGUGUCGUGAAGUCACUCGGUCGUGAAGAGAAUGUAGAAGGCGUGGGUAGAGAGAUGGAGCACGAGCAAGAUGCAGACGAUGAAGGGGAGGAAAGUGUUCAGAAGUCGAGUGAGGACAGUGACACUCCAUCUGAAGCCGGGGAAGAAGUUUCGGCAAGCGAGCAGUCUGGGGAAGAGCAUUCGGAACAUGAGGAAGAGGAGGAGCAAGAAGAGAAGGCUGAGAGUGAAGGGGAGGCGGAGGGCAUGACGGAUGUGGAGGAUGGAGACGUUGAUGGGAAUUCGUUACUGGCAGAUUCGGAACACCCUUUUGCACACUGCCAGCCGCUGGCAGCGUAUCCUGGGUCCGGUGUAGGGUUGGUGGGGGCGUCGCAUUCAAAGAAAGUCGGAAGUAUAUUCUAUGGAAAUGAUACUAUUUAUGUUUUGUUCAGGCUAUACCAAACUCUGUACGAGCGUCUGCUUUCGGCGAAAGUGAACGCAGAAUUGGCAUCUAAAAAAAAGGGCGGCGGCGAUGGCGGCGCUCCUCCGAACUUGUAUUCUCGGUUCAUCCAGGUCCUGUACGGAUUGCUAGACGGUUCUGUGGACAAUUCGAAGUUUGAGGACGAGUGUAGGGCAAUCAUAGGCACGCAAUCGUAUAUAUUGUUCACGCUGGACAAGCUGAUUUUCAAGUUGGUGAAGCAGCUGCAAGCGGCAGCGACGGACGAUGUGGUACAGAAGCUGCUGGCACUGAACGCAUACGAGCAAGGUCGGGAAACUGUGGAUGCAGUUUACUAUGCGGACGCUUGCGUGGUUCUGCACGACGAGAGCAUAUAUCGUUUGGAAAAGAGGUCGAACCCGAACGAGUUGCUGAUACAGCUGAUGGAGAAUUUGGAUAUUCCUGGGAAUAGUUUCGAGAGCUCAUUUCAGAAGUACUUGGAUGGAUUUCUAAAGUCCUUAUCAUCCGACAAGCGGGGGCAGGUGUUUUGUGCGCGAAAUUUGAAGCGGAUGCGUAUUGAAGAGAAUGCAGAUUAUGGGAAAGAUGUGAACAUAAUGAACGGGCUGGAGAUUAAGAUGUCAUGUCGGACGUCGAAAGUGUCGUACGUGCUCGACACGGAAGACGUGUUUUGGAGGUCAUUGUCUGGGAGCAAGAGACGGAAGGAGAAGGCGGAGUCGAAGAGGUGGUGCCAGUUUCACAAGUGGAUGCAAGAAAUGGAGGGUUUGAAGGAUGAUGCAUUGGGACACUUGAGAGUAAUUCAGCAGCUUUAAGCGUUCGGAGCAGAGAUUUAUGGUCGACACCGAAGGCUCUUUCUUGGAUCUCUUUCUGCCGUUAUGCAGAAGAGGGUUAUCAACUCGGAGUAUUGUGUUUUUUAUAAGACGGGUAUCGUGCCGAAGGAUAGAGUUAUUGGUUGUUUUCAGGGUCGUCAGGUUGAGUUGAUCUAAAAAUCUGGACCUGAUUUAUGUCCAUUACUUUGCGAUUUUGUGAAUUUGGAGAACAGCUUCUGCUGGUUUCACAAGAUUAAGUGCUAUGCUUGUAAUCAAAUCAUUUUCUUGCAUCUAAACCUGGGCUUUUUUUUUCAGAAGCCCAAUCGCAUAGCGCAUAUGUCCUCUCAAUAUAUAACACUUGGUAUGAGCCCAUUUUGAGGUUGAUGUAUUUCAUUUAAGAACCGUAUGUUUCUCUCAUCAGAAACUUUGCCUGCUGCUAUGGUUACAGGGAAUCGAAACCGAGUCCAUGUUUGACGCUUUUAUGUUUAGAGAUAGAAGCCAGGAAGUAAAUUACAACAUGCCAUUAGCAACCUUGUUAAUUGGUA